GUCUCAUCAGUGACUCCUGCAAGAGAAGCUGACGGCUCCCGGCCAUUCUCAACAUUGCCCUGGCAUUUCCCUGCCUAGGAAAAACCCUCACUGCACCAAGAUCUUCUGCUUCCCUGCAGACCGGGACUGCACCGGAGCAGCGCCCCUCAGCGAUUGACUGCUGGUGGUAUCGGUUAAAACGGCAUUUUAAUCAUCUGCCGUUGCCCUGGCAACGCCCAGGUCUCCUCAGCUUCUCCCGUGAGAAGCUGCCAGCUCCUGGCGAUUCUCACUGCUGCCCUGGUGUUUCCCUGCCUCGGAAAAACCCUCACAGCGCCAAAAUCUGCCGCUUCGCUGACGACAGGGUCGGCAAAAAGUAGCUCCUCUUGGGGACUAACUUGUGGGGUCGGUUCCACCGAAUUCAAAUCUCCUGCCGUUGCCCUGGCAACACCCAGGUCUCGUUAGCGUCUCCUGCGAGAAGAUGCCGGCUCCUGGCGGUUCUCAGCGCUGCCCUGUUUUUCCCUCGGACUUGGAAAAGCCUUCACUGCACCGAGAUCUGUCGCUUCGCUGCAGACCAGGUACAGCAGGUACAGAGUGAGCUAAGCAUAGGGAAUGGAUACCUGAGCUUUCUAGCAAGCACAGUGAUGCAGAGUGAAUUUUGUCUGUCAGCUAAAGCUUUCAUAUUAACUGCAUUUUCCUGGAGAACCAGACACAUGUUUUGGUAAACCUAGCAAUGGAAUGCAAACUUAUUGAUAAGCACGGAUGGACAUCUCGCGAGAGGGGCGACGAGAAGAAAGAGACCAAGAAACUGACCAACUGGGUAUAACAUUCCAUUCACGUGAAUACUUCAUAUAAAAGUGGGAGAUCACGAGGAUCUCGUGUUGCUUUUCCCUUUUCCCUUCUGCUUAUGGCCGACAUUAGAAGAGAACCUUGCUAGUCGUCCCUGCGAACUGAGGCCUAGUGAGAGACUGAAUCCAGCUCCGGUUGGCUGCAGAGUCUAAUCCAGGACUUCGGGUGCCAGCUCUGCAGUUGCUGAGACUUUCAAGAUUGGUUUUGUAUAUUUUGUAUUAUUUUCUCUAUUCUUAUUAGUAGCAUUAGUAAAACAUCUUUAAUUUUUUCCAACUCUCUUCACUCUGUGCUUCUUUUCCUUCCAAUCGCCUCUCCUUAGUGAAAAGGGGGGAGAGGGAAGGGGGAGUGUGGGGGAGGAGAGGGGGUUAACAAUACAUCUGCCAGGGUUUUAUUGUCACCCCGCAAUCUUAACCCUCGACACAUCUAUAGAUUUUUUAAAUGUACAUAAACCAAAUCCUGUCUUUCAUGUGUAACAAUGUAGUGGAAGAGAAGUUCACUGAAAGUCCUGUCUUUUGUUAUUAUAUGAGAUCUCAAAUUUAAUUGGGGAAAUAAGCCAGAAAGUAAUGAAACAACGGAAUGAGUGGGAAACCUUUGCUUUAUAUAACAUAGGUCUGUUAAAUGUAACAUUUUACAUUUAUUUUUUCAAGUGACUGUAUGUACAUACACUAUAAAGUUGACUGCAAUACACUACAAAAAUAGCUCACAACUGUGUUAUUGCAUAUGAAAUAAUAAAAAAUACGGUACAUACCCAAAUGAAUGGGUGUGCAUGUGUGUGAAUAUGUGUGUGCAUGCAUGUACAUCACACCUGAAAAUCAAUAUGGUUCCCAAGUAUUAUAUUUUAAAUGAUAAAAUUUAUAAUCUAUCAGAACAUCCAUGAAGACCAAAUGAAUUUCUUUACAUGGCUUUUUUAUUUUUUUCAGAAAACAUGGAUAUCCAAAUAUAUAAAUGUAGGAAUUUUAUCUGUUUACUUUAAAUAUGCAUUUUGUAUUCAGAAGUAAUGUAAAGAGUGUCUAACAUUUAUCCUCUUCUGCUCUGUGUUCAUAAAGGGUCCAAACCUGAACACCACUGAACACAAACUCUCACUGUGGUUUCACACUAGUGAACCCAGAGCUGCUCCUUGAAGAUGCUCAGUGCCUUACAGACAUGGGACCAAAACAAACAUUUUUGAAGAAUAAGCCAUUGAACUGAGCCUGCAUUUGUUCUCUGUUUUCAGACUAAACUAAGUUUUAAAAGCUGUUCAGCAAAGACUAGAGAUUUUGAAGUAGCGUUUAAGUGGAUAUGCUUACUAAGGUCCUGAUCCUUCCAGACACUAAGCGGCUCACAGAAGGUACCAACAUCUUGUCAAAAUUAUUGGAAGAGCUAUCUGGAGAGCAUCACCUUGAAAAUGUGUAAUAUAUAUUCCUUUAAAAUAGUAACAAGUCAAAGCAUUGUACUAGCCUUCAUUAAAAGAGAAGGCUUGGUUUAUUUAAAAUUUUAUUAGAUUGAGUUUUUAUCAGUACCAGCUAUCAAGACUUGAAUGCUAAUCAUCACCAAAAUAUUUUAUGAACCUAUCAGAUGAUGAAAAUGAAUUAGUGCUAUGUUAUAAAUUUACUACUUGCAAACUCACAUGUAACAGUUGCUCAUAUUUUUCAUACUGCUUGCAAAAUGCUACUUGAUGCAUACAGUAGGUAGAAAAAUACAUCUGUCUACAGAAACACAUAAAGGUAUAAAAAUCUUUCCUUCGUAUUUAUUUAUAGCUUUUUUUUCAAAAGAUUAUUUUAAUUCAUUUUAAAAAUACAUUGUAAUUUUAUUUAUGGAAAGCAAACUUCUGGAAUUAAAUAGACACAUUUUACAAAUUC